rnacentral:pre_miRNA from 1 species
UUGAAGAGAGUUACUUGAAAGUUGUAAAGAUGCAAUCCAUUGACCUUCAGUUCGCUCUCUUCGUCA